UUUGAAUCAGCAUGGCCAGAUCAAGAUCAUGUGCCUAAUGCAGUUGGAUGGGAAUUGAAUAAAGGGAAAAGAUCAUUUAUUCAGUCCCAAAAAGAAACAGUCUUUGCUAGUUUGUUUAUAUAGCACUUUUAGGUUUGUUUCUUUUCUAGUCCAAAUAAAGAAGAAAGUGUUUGUAUGAGACUUCCGUCCCAACAUUUCUGGUUUAUAUGGCAUCCAUGUUCAAGAAUCAGUACAAAUUGGUUGUUCGAGCUGGAGACAAAGUACAAGAGGUGGUGGUUCAGACAUGGCUGGGUACAGAGGAGAUGAAGCAUGUGAUUCUAUUGUGCACCAAAAGAGUCGAGUGAAUGUCGUUUCAUUGUAAAUUAGUUGUUGUAUUAUAGCUGACUGGAUCAUGGUUGGGUUGAAGCAGCUAAACCAUGGCCGAAUGGUCUCACUCAGCCCAGGUUCUAGCCAUGAAUAGAAGAAGAAGAGUUUCCAGAAGGAAUCGAAGGAGGGUAUACCGAAAACAUAGAAAAACACUUUUACUUUUAAGACAUUGAUGUUAACAGCUUGGUAUUCCUUUGCAAGAUUCAAAUGAUGUGUAUAUAGUUUGUAUUCUUUAUACUAUACUAAACAAUUCAGUUGUAUGUUACCAUAUACUUGAUUGGAUAUGGCAUAUUUUUUUCUAUAGUUAUUUGAUCGUAAUACAAGACAUGGAAGAAUGGAUCGGUGACAAACGAUUAAGAAUAAUGUCUAAUCAAAAAGUUUCAUGGACGCAUAUGACAAUGGUAUAUUCUAACAUGUUAGAAUUAUUAUGUUCUCAGUUUCUUCUAUCCAGGUGGAAAUAUGUGGUCAUGUUACUUUAGCAGCCACUCACUUCCUUUUCAAAUUUGGCUUGGUGAAAUCUAACACAGUUAAAUUUACUUUUCUGGAAUUUUUAGUGCUAAAAGAGUUAAGGACCCAUUAGGGAGUGAAAAUGUGCAAUAUUUGUAUUGAAUAUCAAUACGAGACAUCUAUUUCAGCAAAAAAAAAAAAAAAAAAAAAAAAAAAAAAAAAAAAAAAAACCAGAGUUACGAUAGAUGUCUUUAUGUUUAUUUAAAAAUAUAAUCCACCAUGUAACUAUUUCUAACUACAGUUUUGCAUACAAAUAUCUUGAUUUAUUAAAAUAUAGAUGAUUUUCACUGUCGUACCUCUAUUUGGUUUCACUAAUAGUUUUUGUCAAAAAGUCAGUAAAAGUUGUAAAAAAAUAGCUUAUUAUUUUAGAUUUUAUGUACUUUUAACGAUUUUUAUUAUUACUCAAGUUUGUAAAAAUCGUUCGGUGGUAGCUUGACGGUUGACUAACAAUAAACGAUUAAUCAGACUCGGCAGGGAUUAAUCGGGGACCCUAAAUUAUUAAUAAAAUUAUUUAAAAAAUUAAUAUUUCCUAAAAAAUUAAGUAUUUAGAAAUUUUAAGCUUUAAAAUUUUGAAAUUUUAAAAAUUUUAGUAUAAUAUUUAAAAAUUUGAAAGCUUAAAAGUUUAAAAUUUUAAAAUUUUGUUGUAAUAUUUGAUAAUUAUUUUUUUGGAAUUUUUUAAAUAUUUCCUGCCUAUGACCGCCGAGGACCACCAAGGCCGCUAAGGACCGACAAGCCCGAGUUUGACCGAUUAUGACCAAUUUCUGCCAAGCACCGUAAUCGUAAUUGGUUCAAGGUUGUCAUGCAAUUAAUCAGCUACCAAUGUUGAUUUCUGCAACACUGUUGUUACUUAAUAAAAAUGACUUUUUGUACUUCAGGUUUGCUACUGCACCUGGCUCGGAAGGUUCUGGUGUCACAAAGGAAGUGAAGGAGCUGAAAAAAAAAAGGCUGCAACAUAGUGGUUUUUAUGAACAUAUCAUCAAAUAAUAAUAACUCAUCAUAAAUUAAAAAGAAGAUAUUAUUUUGACAUAUAAUCAUAUCAAUGUAUUCUUUGUUUUCAGAUUUGGGAUAAAAUAUGUAACACCCACCGAAGAAGAUGACAAGAAAAAGGUCAGACUUUGUAGGUUUGGAUUCUCUUCAAGUGUUGAUCCUCUUGUCUUCAAGAAAAGAAAAA